GAACAGAUUCACCUCCGUCACGGCGCCGUCGAGCCAGAAAACGGGUAAACUGCGGUGGCCGGUGAGGUCAUCGCUUCUUAUUAUGGCCUCAUCUAAACUCCGGAUCUCAGAAACGCAGGUCACGGCCAGGCUGAAGAAUGCGGCUGGGCAAUCUCCUAUCAUGUUCUCGAAUGCGUGCACGUCCAGACCGAAGUCCUACACAAACCCAAAGAGAGGAGGAGAGAAAGAGAGACGGGCCUUCAGUAGGGAACCAGUUACAGCCCAUUGGAGGUCUACUCACUCCACUGAUAGGUUAUAUGUGAGAGCAGAUCUAUGGUGCCGCAACCACACGGAUCAGAACCGACCAGCGGUGACCUACCUCUGUCCUUGGUAAGAAGUCUGGAUCCGCUUCGAUGCGGGCGAUGAUCUCACACAGGAUGAUGCCGUACGCGAACACAUCGACCUGAACCAAAGAGGAAAGCAGAAAGUCCAAACCGCAUCACAGCGACAUCAAACACAGGAACACAACCUCUGAGCCGGAGCGACGCCACAGCGCUGCGGUUCUGAGCUUCAGGAGACAUUUACAUGAUCGGCUCCUCACC